CCAGAACAGCCCUAAGCGCGGGUACAGUCCAGGGCAGGCGCAGGAGCUUCGGGAGACAGGGCGAGCUGGAGGGAGGUGUUCUGCCUACACAGUGGAAACAUGGCGGACCGUGAGAACGCUCAGGGGUCGAAAAUUUCUGAAGACAAUGUGAAUUUCUGAAACUAUAUCCUGUCUGCCUACUGCCAGAACUAAAUUCCUGUCUUCAAAGAUAUUUGGCUUAAAAGACAAAACCCUUAACAGAGUUUAGGAGAUUGCUGCAGUUUUCUAAAUGAAAAAAAAAAUGGACAAAACUGUGUAAUAUGAAGCAAACUCACAAGAUAAAGACGAGUAAAAACCUCUGGCUCUCAUAGUCCUUUUGAGGAAAAGAUGUCAUGAGAUUUCAUUUGGUCUCUGUUUAUGGAGCCUCAGAUUACCAACUUUAGGUCUAGAACUUUAUUUUUUAAGGUUCUAAUUGAACUAUCUUAGGAAUUUUUAGCAUAUUUUAUGUUUUCAGUAGUCAUAAAGUAUUAGAUCAAAAGUGUUUGUUGCACUAUGCAAUGAAAGUAAUGAAGGGAAAGUCACACUCUGUUCAGUGAUGGCAUUGCUACUGUGCCGCAGUCUGGCUGGGCACAAAUCACGAGCCACUGAAGCAGGAACAAACUUUAUUUCUGAACUCCACCAGCACACUCCACACACGCUCCCCGGGAAUUCUCUCGAACCCCAUGUGGCUCGUCCAGGAACCAGCAACUGGAAAUAUCCCUCCUCCGGCACUUCCCCAACCAAUUGGAACUCUCCGGGAAUCCCCGCAAGAGCUCAACUGGAACUCAAGGGGAACUCCGGGAGAACUCGCUGGCAUCACCUCUCAACCACUACUUCUGGCAAAAAUGCCGUGCGUCAUCCCGACUCGGCUGUGGCCCUCAACACUACUGUAAAUGGCCUUGGGCGGGGCUGGGGUUGUGGCUUAGUGGUCAGGCCCAUGCACAAGGCCUUCAGUGUGAUCUCUAGCACUCUGGAGUAGUA
rnacentral:lncRNA from 1 species